rnacentral:rRNA from 1 species
GCAUUCCCGGGGCGUCUCUAUCUCAUUGCGAGACGAGGCGCACCUAGAGCGCACACGCUGAUACCCGAAAGAUGGUGAACUAUGCCUGGCCAGGACGAAGCCAGGGGAAACCCUGGUGGAGGUCCGUAGCGAUUCUGACGUGCAAAUCGAUCGUCGGAGCUGGGUAUAGGGGCGAAAGACCAAUCGAACCAUCUAGUAGCUGGUUCCCUCUGAAGUUUCCCUCAGGAUAGCUUGCACUCGGGACGAGACGAGUCUCAUCCGGUAGAGCGAAUGAUUAGAGGCCUUGGGGUCGAAACGACCUCAACCUAUUCUCAAACUCCAAAUAGAUGAGAGCCCCGGCUUUCUUGAAUUUUAUUCUAUGAAGCCGGUGGAUUCUGAUCAGAGUGCCAAGUGGGCCAAUUUUGGUAAGCAGAACUGGCGCUGUGGGAUGAACCAAACGUCGAGUUAAGGCGCCUAAAUCGACGCUCAUGCGAAACCAUGAAAGGGCGUUGGUUGCUUAAGACAGCAG